UGCCGGGUCGUCUAAUGGUAGGACAUCGCCCUUUGGAGGCGAGUAUCUUGGUUCGAGUCCAAGCCCGGCAGCCA
rnacentral:tRNA from 7 species